CCCUUAGAUGUUCUGGGCCGCACGCGUGCUACACUGAGUGGAUCAGCGGGUCAGGUUGCGCGAAAGCGUUUCCUAAUCUUUAAAUCCGCUCGUGAUGGGGAUUGACGGUUGCAAUUUUCUGUCAUGAACGAGGAAUACCUUGUAAGCGCGGGUCAUCAUCCCGCGCUGAAUACGUCCCUGCCCUUUGUACACACCGCCCGUCGCACCUACCGAUUGGAUGGUCCGGUGAAGCCUCGGGAUUGUGGUUCUUGCCGCUUUAUUGUGGCGUGACCGCGAGAACUUGUCUAAACCCUAUCAUCUAGAGGAAGGUGAAGUCGUAACA
rnacentral:rRNA from 1 species